rnacentral:misc_RNA from 1 species
AAGUCGUAACAAGGUAACCGUAGGUGAACCUGCGGUUGGAUCAUUAACAAAUCCAAUUACAAGUCUAUGGGAAGGGGUGUCAAAGCUCUGGUACUGUAUUCUUGUUUUUAACACAAUGUGAACUGUAAUUGUCUCUGGUGUGGUUAAGAGUCUCGCUAACUAAUCUUUAUAAGAGAUUGGGUUAGUGGGAUAGCAGUUGCAUCUCUUUGUUGCUGCUGCUACCCACCGUUAUGAAUUUAAACCUUUUUUUACCUUUUGGUCUUUAAACUAAAGUUUAGUGCUUUAAAUCUUAAAUUUAAA